UACGAAGGGGGCUAGCGUUGUUCGGAAUUACUGGGCGUAAAGCGCACGUAGGCGGAUAUUUAAGUCAGGGGUGAAAUCCCCGGGCUCAACCCGGGAACUGCGUCCGAUACUGGAAGGCUUGAAUCCGGGAGAGGGAUGCGGAAUUCCAGGUGUAGCGGUGAAAUGCGUAGAUAUCUGGAGGAACACCGGUGGCGAAGGCGGCAUCCUGGACCGGCAUUGACGCUGAGGAGCGAAAGCCAGGGGAGCAAACGGG
rnacentral:rRNA from 1 species